rnacentral:rRNA from 1 species
UUGCAUAUCAAAAAGCGGAGGAAAAGAAACCUAACAAGGAUUCCCCUAGUAACUGCGAGUGAAGCGGGAAAAGCUCAAAUUUAAAAUCUGGUGGUCUUUGGCCAUCCGAGUUGUAAUCUAGAGAAGUGUUAUCCGCGCUGGACCGUGUACAAGUCCCCUGGAAUGGGGCGUCAUAGAGGGUGAGAAUCCCGUCUUUGACACGGACUACCAGGGCUUUGUGAUGCACUCUCAAAGAGUCGAGUUGUUUGGGAAUGCAGCUCAAAAUGGGUGGUAAAUUCCAUCUAAAGCUAAAUAUUGGCGAGAGACCGAUAGCGAACAAGUACCGUGAGGGAAAGAUGAAAAGAACUUUGGAAAGAGAGUUAAACAGUACGUGAAAUUGUUGAAAGGGAAACGCUUGAAGUCAGUCGCGUCUGCCAGGGAUCAACCUUACUUUUGUGAGGCGUACUUCCUGGUUGAUGGGUCAGCAUCAGUUUUGGUCGCUGGAUAAAGGUCAGAGAAAUGUGGCACCUUCGGGUGUGUUAUAGUCUUUGAUCAGAUACAGUGGCUGGGACUGAGGAACUCAGCGCCGCAAGGCUGUCUUAGGAUGCUGGCAAAAUGGCUUAURAUCGACCCGUCUUGAAACACGGACCAAAGGAGUC